AUGGGCAUGAAUAGACUGGCUUCGGGGAACCUGCCAGCUUGGCUGUGUGGCCAAGGACAUUCUUCAGUGAAACUAGCAGCCCUUCUUCAGAACUCUUUAGGCAGGAAGCAGUACCCAUUUCUGUGCUUGCAAUUAUCUCGAAUCCAGGAGAUUCACAUCAAGCUCUCCCAAGGAUUGUCUCGCCCCACUCCCCCAGAGUGGUUGGAGCUUCUGCAGCUCAGCAAAUAUCAACCAGGUAUGGAGAUGCUUGUCUCUCCUUAUUGUGGUCCCAUCCAAAUCUUUAUAGGCUCUUGUGGUGGUUAAUUUUAUGUGUCAACUCGAAGGAUGUUUUGAGAUGAGAUUCACAUUUAAAUCAGUGAGCACUAUAUAAGCAGAUUCCCUUCAUGAUGUAGAUGGGCCUUAUCUAAUCAGUUUGGAUUUCAUCUGCAUCAUCAACUCUCCUGGGUCUCGACCUGCCAGCACACACUAUAGAUUUGGACUUGCCAAUCCCCUUAUUUGUGUGAGCCAAAUCCUGAAACAAACACCAAACAAACACAAAAACAUAUGAUAUUGGAUCUGUUUCUCAGAUAACCCUAAUGUGGUGGUUAUCUUGGUUCCCCUGUACUUGACUUGAAAUUCCUUGGUGGGAGACACAGUACCACCUACUAGGCUAACAACUUUACUCUCACAUCUUAAUCCAAAGGUGGCUGCUGGAUUAAUUCAACCCUCUUUUCGUAUUUCUUACAUAGAUGUGUGUAGUAUAUCUCCUUGAAUAUGUAGGAAUCCUUAUUCCCUACUCUUCUUAUAAUUGGACCUUAAGCUAGAAAAGUUCCAAGACUACCUAUUAAGUCCCAUUUGAUGAACUUUUAUGUAACCUAACAUCUUAUAUAGAAAAAAAAUACAGAUACGCUAUUUUCGAUCGUGGUUUAUGUGGCCUUUUUGGUUGCAAGAAAGAGACUUAUUCAUGCUACCUCAAGAGAUGGAGCCAGAGUGUUAUGCCCUGUGGAAUAAUACCUGUGGAAACAAAGAAAAUAAGAAUUUUUAACUAGGUUUUCUCUUCUGAAGUUUACUAUCUAAACCAGAGUCCAGAAAAAGGCUCACAACCAGGAAUCACAAGACAAUAGCUUCCUAUGGAGACUAGAACUCAAUUUAUGUUCUGAAAAGUGAUUCAGGAUUCUACACAGUUCUAAUGACUGGAUGUUCCCUUGCCAACUUCUUGAGUAUUCUGUCUGCCUUUGCAUCUCUCUGUGUGCCUAUAUUCUUCUGCUAACGUAUACUGAUUUUUACUAGGCAACUAGUUCCAAGUCUCAAGAGAGAGGGUUGG
rnacentral:lncRNA from 13 species